rnacentral:snoRNA from 1 species
AAAUUGGAGGUCGAGGAGCUUGUCUCCUACAUCCUCACUGGGCUCGACACCGACUUCAAUCCCGUCGUCACGACGGUCAUGGUGAGAGUCGAGCCGAUUAGCGUCGCUGAGCUCUAUGCACUGCUGAUCUCUUUCGAGC